rnacentral:lncRNA from 1 species
GUUGGAAUCAGACAGCUGUUGCAAAGAUGCCAGGACUGCAUUAGUCCCUCUGCUUCUUGGUCCCACUCUAAGAAUACUAGAAGACAGAGCUGAAGACAGGAUGGUGCUGAACACGCAAUCGUGCACACAGCCUGGAAUCUUCUCUCAAGGAACUGUUUGAAGGCUACUGAGCUGAACAAAGACUCGGAGCAAUUCAACAAGUCUGAGGCAUUCUGCUAAGAGCUGACAAAGAGCUUACUGACAAAUAAGACCUGGUUCCUAUGUUUUCACAAAAUUGUUAAGAAAACAAAACACAGUAAGUGAGCAUUAAGUAUUGAGACUGUUUAUACAAAGUAACGCAGAGGAAAUUAUAGAUUGGGGUUGCUUCUAAACAGCAUUCUGCAAGUGAUUAUAAACACAAGGACGGAGCAAUGUGAAAAGAUUCUUCGAUUGUUUUCAUCCCAGUGGAGAAUGAAUCUUAGUAAACCUCAGCAUCUCAGCAUCUCAUUUCCAUAGUAACCAAACAGCCUAGGGAAGUGGUAGCAUUAAUACUUAUCAGGGAAAUUACAAUAAUGAUAGCAUAGGCUGAGAUGGACUAUAAU